UAGGCUACAGUUGCUCUUAUAACAUUGUUUGGAAUUCUUUCCGUCUGAGUACACAUCAGUUAUCCAAGUCCUUCUUCAAGAGGCACCCAGAGCCAAACACAAUCCUCUGUGCUGGCUGACCAAUGCAGUGUACGAUAGCCUAUCACCCCAUGGGAGGCAUGGUUCAGAGCAUUCUGAAGGCCCUCCACUGACCUUGGCAGAUGAUGCAGUGACCCUGCUCACACACCUUAUGCAUACCUCAUCCCUGAGCUUUGGAGACCACAUCUUGCUACACUGUAGCCCUCUAUCUGAGAGCUCUCUAGAUCCACAAAUAGGUAGGACCAGAAGUGCUCAGGGACUCUUGUCUAACUGUGCCUCAAGUGAAACAACUCAGAAAAGUUCUGCACUAGCUCCUGAGCUCUCCAGCGGAAGAGAGUGCCAGCUGCCCAUAGCAGGUACCUGCUCGGUGACAUGUCCUUUACUGGAUCAUUCUCUUCUUCCUUUUCUCACUUCUGCCAUCCCUUAUCCAUGCUUCCUAGGAUCUCCUUCUCCCCAAGAAAUGACUUACACUCAAAUCCUUGUUUCCAGACUUGCUUCUUUGGGAACUCAUCCUAAGAGAGUGACUGAUUAAAACAUAUCUGAUAAAUAAAUGGAAAACAAAGCUAAAUACUUGCAGAAACAAGUAUUUGAAAAUUUGCUAAACACUCGCAUAAAACUAUAGAUGUUUUUCACGUUUCUCUUCUUGAUAUCUGACUGUGUCAAUAAUGAAAUACAUGAACAACUUUUUUUUGUGAGCCAAUAAAGUGAAAUGUAAAAAGA